GAGCGAACNNCUGNNGGCAGGCUUUAACACAUGCAAGUCGAGCGGGNGUAGCAAUACGUCAGCGGCAGACGGGUGAGUAACGCGUGGGAACGUACCUUUUGGUUCGGAACAACUGAGGGAAACUUCAGCUAAUACCGGAUAAGCCCUUACGGGGAAAGAUUUAUCGCCGAAAGAUCGGCCCGCGUCUGAUUAGCUAGUUGGUGAGGUAACGGCUCACCAAGGCGACGAUCAGUAGCUGGUCUGAGAGGAUGAUCAGCCACAUUGGGACUGAGACACGGCCCAAACUCCUACGGGAGGCAGCAGUGGGGAAUAUUGGACAAUGGGCGCAAGCCUGAUCCAGCCAUGCCGCGUGAGUGAUGAAGGCCCUAGGGUUGUAAAGCUCUUUUGUGCGGGAAGAUAAUGACGGUACCGCAAGAAUAAGCCCCGGCUAACUUCGUGCCAGCAGCCGCGGUAAUACGAAGGGGGCUAGCGUUGCUCGGAAUCACUGGGCGUAAAGGGUGCGUAGGCGGGUCUUUAAGUCAGGGGUGAAAUCCUGGAGCUCAACUCCAGAACUGCCUUUGAUACUGAGGAUCUUGAGUUCGGGAGAGGUGAGUGGAACUGCGAGUGUAGAGGUGAAAUUCGUAGAUAUUCGCAAGAACACCAGUGGCGAAGGCGGCUCACUGGCCCGAUACUGACGCUGAGGCACGAAAGCGUGGGGAGCAAACAGG
rnacentral:rRNA from 1 species